UUUGUUAUGGAAUAUGUUGAGCAAACCUGGAGAAGCGUCAGCUCAAGAGACUAUUGUUGUCAUUACUGCUCGGGACCAGCACUCCUGUUGUUGGACAGAAAGACAUCAACUCAGUGACUUGAGAUAUGACUGCACUAUGCUG